rnacentral:rRNA from 1 species
UAGUGAGCGGCAACAGCUCAAAUUUGAAAUCUGGCCUCGUGCCCGAGUUGUAAUUUGUAGAGGAUGCUUUUGGCGACGCGCCUUCCGAGUUCCCUGGAACGGGACGCCAUAGAGGGUGAGAGCCCCGUCCGGUCGUGCGCCUAGCCUCUGUAAAGCUCCUUCGACGAGUCGAGUAGUUUGGGAAUGCUGCUCUAAAUGGGAGGUAUACGUCUUCUAAAGCUAAAUACCGGCCAGAGACCGAUAGCGCACAAGUAGAGUGAUCGAAAGAUGAAAAGCACUUUGAAAAGAGGGUUAAAUAGUACGUGAAAUUGCUGAAAGGGAAGCGCUUAUGACCAGACUUGGGCGCGGCGGAUCAUCCGGCGUUCUCGCCGGUGCACUCCACCGCCCCAGGCCAGCAUCAGUUCGCGCCGGGGGAUAAAGGCUUCGGGAAUGUGGCUCUCUCGGGAGUGUUAUAGCCCGCUGCGUAAUACCCUGGCGCGGACUGAGGUCCGCGCUCUGCAAGGAUGCUGGCGUAAUGGUCAUCAGUGACCCGUCUUGAAACACGGACCAAGGAGUCGUCUUCGUAUGCGAGUGUUCGGGUGUCAAACCCCUACGCGGAAUGAAAGUGAACGUAGGAGAGAGCUUCGGCGCAUCUCCGACCGAUCCUGAUGUUCUCGGAUGGAUUUGAGUAAGAGCAUACGGGGCCGGACCCGAAAGAAGGUGAACUAUGCCUGUGUAGGGUGAAGCCAGAGGAAACUCUGGUGGAGGCUCGCAGCGGUUCUGACGUGCAAAUCGAUCGUCAAACAUGGGCAUGGGGGCGAAAGACU